GUGAAUCAUCAAAUCUUUGAACGCAAAUUGCACUCUCUGGUAUUCCGGAGAGUAUGCCUGUUUGAGGGUCAGUUUAAAUAAAAACCGGUGUGGUCGCUGCCUUUCGUGGUGACGCGCCGGAUUUGGGUCGUCUUGCCUUCGGUUAAGUUACCUAAAAUUUUGCAUGUUUUUUUCGAACGUAUUU
rnacentral:misc_RNA from 1 species